rnacentral:rRNA from 1 species
CGGCGGACGGCUGAGUAACACGUAGGAACGUACCCCAAACUGAGGGAUAAGCACCGGAAACGGUGUCUAAUACCGCAUGUGCUCUUCGGAGUAAAGCUUCGGCGGUUUGGGAACGGCCUGCGCAUGAUUAGCUUGUUGGUGAGGUAAUGGCUCACCAAGGCGACGAUCAUUAGCUGGUCUGAGAGGAUGAUCAGCCAGACUGGGACUGAGAACGGCCCAG